GUUACAAUGGCAGGUACAGAGGGGUGCUACCGGGUGACCGGAUGCCGAUCUCGAAAACCUGUCCCAGUUCGGACUGGAGUCUGCAACCCGACUCCACGAAGCUGGAUUCGCUAGUAAUCGCGCAUCAGCCACGGCGCGGUGAAUACGUUCCCGGGCCUUGUACACACCGCCCGUCAAGCCAUGGAAGCCGGGGGUGCCUGAAGUGCGCUGCCGCAAGGAGCGUCCUAAGGUAAAACCGGUGACUGGGGCUAAGUCGUAACAAGGUAAC
rnacentral:rRNA from 1 species